UACAGAGGGUGCAAGCGUUAAUCGGAAUUACUGGGCGUAAAGCGCGCGUAGGUGGUUGUGUAAGUCUGAUGUGAAAGCCCCGGGCUCAACCUGGGAAGUGCAUUGGAUACUGGCAGACUUGAGUACGGGAGAGGAGAGUGGAAUUCCCAGUGUAGGAGUGAAAUCCGUAGAUAUUGGGAGGAACACCGGUGGCGAAGGCGGCUCUCUGGACCGAUACUGACGCUGAGGUGCGAAAGUGUGGGGAUCAAACAGGAUUAGAUACCCUUGUAGU
rnacentral:rRNA from 1 species